AUGACAAGACCGAAGCACCUUGGGGGCUUAGGCUUCCGCGAUCUUGAGAUCUUCAAUUUAGCAUUACUUGCUAGGCAAGCAUGGAGGUUGUUAACUGACGAUACUUCUUUGAGUGCCAGGAUACUAAAAGAUGCAUAUUUUCCAAGUUGCUCUCUGUUUGAUGCCGAACUGGGGUCGAGACCUUCACAAAUAUGGCGAUCGAUUUUGGAUGGCCGUGAUAUCCUAUCGCAGGGAGUCAUUAGGCGAAUUGGAGAUGGAAAGACCACGGAGGUUUGGACCCAAAAUUGGAUCCCAAGAGAUAGCUUCAAGAGGCCCAUCACUUCUUUGCUUCCGAACCCGCCGAUGAUGGUGGCCGAGUUGAUCGACGCUUCUUCUGCGUCAUGGAGGGAGGACCUGGUACAUGCGACUUUUACACAUUUUGAUGCCGAGGAGAUUCUACGGAUUCCCUUGUGUACACGCAUAGUCCAUGACUGCUGGGCAUGGCACGAGGAGAGCAUAGGAGAUUUCAGUGUAAGAUCGACGUACAAAAUGAUAUUGAGGACAAAGUUGAACCGGGAAGCUUGGCUAAAUGAAGAGGAGGGACCGUCUAGUGAUCAGCAAGAGCAAAACAAAUGGAGCAGAAUUUGGCACAUCAAGGUUCCCUCAAAAUUACGAAUGUUUGUGUGGCGUCUGGCGAGGCAAUCUAUGCCAACGGAUGACCACUUGAAGCAUAGUAACAUGGCGACGGAGGACACUUGUCUUAUUUGUGGGGCUGUGGACACGUGGAGACAUGCUCUACUAACAUGUCCGAUGUCGAGCAACGUGUGGCCUUAG
rnacentral:rRNA from 1 species